rfam:Asian citrus Psyllid, Diaphorina citri - Florida Strain, whole genome shotgun sequence.
CGAAGUGGUGAUAGCAUGUUGAAUACACGAGUUCCCAACGGAUCACUGAAGUUAAGCAACGUUACACGUGGUCAGUAUCCGUAUUGGUGACCAUCUGGAAAUAGCACCUGCACCUAGGU